rnacentral:rRNA from 1 species
GAUUCUGGUGAUCCUGCCAGUAGUCAUACGCUCGUCUCAAAGAUUAAGCCAUGCAUGUGUAAGUAUAAAUAGUUAACUUUGAAACUGCGAAUGGCUCAUUAUAUCAGUUAUAGUUUAUUUGAUGAAGAAUACUAAUUGGAUAACCGUAGUAAUUCUAGAGCUAAUACAUGUAUAAAGUCUUGUAGACUGCAUUUAUUAGAAUGAAAACCAUAGGUUUCGGCCUAUUCGUGAGUAAUAAUAACUAAUCAUAUCGUAUGCUUAAGUAACGAUGUGUCUUUCAAGUUUCUGCCCUAUCAGCUUUCGAUGGUAGUGUAUUGGACUACCAUGGCAGUAACGGGUAACGAAGAAUUUGGGUUCGAUUUCGGAGAGGGAGCCUGAGAGAUGGCUACCACAUCCAAGGAAGGCAGCAGGCGCGUAAAUUACCCAAUCCUGACACAGAGAGGUAGUGACAAUAAAUCACAAUGCGGAACAAUGUUUUGCAAUUGGAUUGAGAACAACGUACAAACCUUAUCGAUAAACAAUUGGAGGGCAAGUCUG